rnacentral:lncRNA from 13 species
CCAAAGAAUAAGCACAUCCCUUUCUGGAGUAGGGGGACAAAUCUGUAUUUACCCUCACUAGAAAUUAGGAUCAGCCGGGGACAGGGCACACAUCUGUGAUCCCAGCACGUGGGGAGGCCCAGGCCGGAGGAUUGCUUGAACUCAGGAGUUUGAGACCAGCCUGUACAAUACAGCGAGAACCUGUCUCUACAAAAAAUACGAAAUUAGCCAGGCAUGUGGCACAUACCCAGCUACUCAUGAGGCUGAGGUAGGAGGAUCGCUUGAGCCCAGGAGGUUGAGUCUUCAGUGAGCCAUGAUCGUAUCACUGCACUGCAGCCUGGGCAACAGAGCACGAUCCUGUCUCAAAGAGAAAGAAAAGAAAAAAGAAAUGAAACUAGACCAGGGACAUGGUGUAGCUCAUACCUGUAAUCCCUGCACUUUUGGGAGGCCGAGGUCAGCAGAAUCCUUGAGCUCGGAAGUUUGAGACCAGCGUGGGCAACAAAAUGAGACCCAGUAUCUACAAAAAGUACACACUAUUAGCUGGGCCUGGUGGCCUGCACCUCUAGUCCCAGCUAUGUGGGAGGCUGCGGGAGGAUCCCUUGAGCCUGGAAGGUCGAGGCUGCAGUGAGCCAAGAUUGUGCCACUGCACUCCAUCCUGGGCGACAAAGACCCUGUCUCAGAAAAAGCAAAACCAAAAAAGUUUGGUUUUCAGAUGGUUUUUCACAUCUGGUGUGGCAGGUGUGGAUAGCCGGGCCCUCCUGGGUACCUCUGCCUUAGGUGGUUUGGUUGAAGCAUUUGGAGAGAAUCUGUCCUCUCCAGACCUACAGGGGAGCAUGCUUUUGUGGCCUCUCGGGAUCAGUGUGGCUGUUCUUCCGUGCUGGACCAAAACUCCACCAGUCUUUCUUCAAGAUGAAGAAACCAAGGCUUUGUAACUAACUCAACCCCGCAAAAAGGACAAAACUGGCCCCAGAGCACCUUGCUCCCGGAUCUGGCAAGAAUGCCUCUGGUUUGCUGAGAAGUCCACAUAUUUAUCCAGCUCAAGAAUGGGAGAUGGACGGUGACCAGGUCAGUGCUAGCCUUUCUCUGAGCUCCUCUGAGUCUGGGCAGCUGAGGUGCUCCUCCGGGAAUGUUCCGCUCUCCACGAGGUAGCACAGGCCUGGAAGCUUUUGUUCCAUUGAACUCUGCCAGGGAGCUAUACUUAGCCACGCGAGGGGAGGCCAGGAGUGGGUCCUCUGAAUAUACAUAGUAACAAGCAGGCUAUUUUCAAACACUUAGAGAAUCUCCCCGAUUAUUCUGGGCCAAAAUGGUAUUUAUAGAAAGCUCUGGGCUCUUGGACACAAACGCAAUAACCUUAGUGCCUUUUGGCGUUCAGGAGAGAAGCUUCUUUCAACAGCGAGUGGGGUGAGGGACCUGGUCACCCAGAGGCCCGCUGUCCCUCAACACCUGUUUUAAGGAGGCCAGGCGUCCUCUUUGCAUUUCCAUUAUGAGUCAGAGAACCACAUGAGGCACGAGGUGCCCCACUGACUUUCCUUCCCGCACACCCUGGUGUG